rnacentral:rRNA from 1 species
UACGUAGGGGGCUAGCGUUGUCCGGAAUCAUUGGGCGUAAAGAGCGUGUAGGCGGCUCGGUAAGUCCGCUGUGAAAGUCGGGGGCUCAACCCUCGAAUGCCGGUGGAUACUGUCGGGCUAGAGUGCGGAAGAGGCGAGUGGAAUUCCUGGUGUAGCGGUGAAAUGCGCAGAUAUCAGGAGGAACACCUAUUGCGAAGGCAGCUCGCUGGGACGUUACUGACGCUGAGACGCGAAAGCGUGGGGAGCAAACAGG